GUAGGUGGCAAGCGUUGUCCGGAAUUAUUGGGCGUAAAGCGCGCGCAGGGCGGUCCUUUAAGUCUGAUGUGAAAGCCCACGGCUCAACCGUGGAGGGUCAUUGGAAACUGGGGGACUUGAGUACAGAAGAGGAAAGCGGAAUUCCAAGUGUAGCGGUGAAAUGCGUAGAGAUUUGGAGGAACACCAGUGGCGAAGGCGGCUUUCUGGUCUGUAACUGACGCUGAGGCGCGAAAGCGUGGGGAGCAAACAGGAUUAGAUACCCUGGUAGUCCACGCCGUAAACGAAGAGUGCUAAGUGUUAGGGGGUUUCCGCCCCUUAGUGCUGCAGCUAACGCAUUAAGCACUCCGCCUGGGGAGUACGGCCGCAAAGGCUG
rnacentral:rRNA from 1 species